AGAGAUUAGAGGUUGUGCUGCUGGAAGCAGUCACUGUAUCUUCACGGCGUCGUAAACACCCGCCCAUUUCCAGUAGCAGGAGAAGCUGGAAGAGAGAUGGAGAGAAGGAGCAGCUCUGCUGGGUGACAUCUACCAUGGGGCCUUGGAUGGAAGCCUGACUCGCUGGGACGCGUCGGAGCUCAGACCCUUCGUUGUUCCACGACAUGCCAUGGAUUUAAUGUCUACUGCGAUGUGUGUUUGAGUUUCGACAGCACUAGUGACAGUUCAGCCUGACGCAGCCAGAUGCCUCAUUCAGCCAAUCACAGCACAUGUGAAGUGGCAGUAGUAAGGGGUGGCCAUCUCCACUCCCAUUGAUCAGCAGGCAGCCCUUCUCCAAAUCCACGCCCUAACCGGAAGCUGCAAUGGAAGAAAAUGUUCACAAAAAAUUUUGGACUCCUGCACCCAAUUGGUGGCUCCAAGACAGUGGUGACACGUCUGCUCGGGUCAUCUCGUGAGAACAAGUAUGUCAUUGGUGACUGACAACAGGGGGGUCCCUGGGACGUGUCUUGUGUUGUUUGGGAUUUAGAGGAUGAGGCUGAUGUCAUGGAGCCUUCCAGACAGCCCUGUCACUUGCUGUUUUAGAGAUUGCCCAGGCAACCCAUUGUGCCCAUUUGUUCCGGGACCCUCUUCCAUCAUAAGGCGAGUAACAGACUCAGGCCUGUUUCUGGGGUCAGUCUCACGUGGCUCUGCUGCCCCCAGGCUCGGCUCUUCCGACUGUCGUCCCCCUCGUCUUGGCCGACUUCCCUAGUAGUAAUAAUCAACUGGAUGAAGGUGUCCAAAUCCCUUGGGGGAAGUUAAUUUGGAUCAUGUUGAACACACUCAAGUAAGAUUCUAGGAUCUUAUCUCUAGAAUUGAAAAAAACCAAACCAUUUUGCUUGCUUUCAGUAAACUCCUUUGAAACAGGUGUUCCUGCCCAAUGUCUACACCCAGGUAUUCCAGGAAGGAGGAGUCACAUAUUUAAAUACACAUAUUUAAAAAUGUUUCUUUAUCGGAAUGGGUUUUCUCUCCUCUUUCAGUUUUUGCUUUUAGUGUUUUGCAACUUUUCGACUGAGUUCCUAUAUCCCAGAGUAACAUAAAAUAUGUCCAGCUCAUUUACGAGUUUCUUGAAAAGGUUGGUGUCUACAGAACUUUAUCCUUGGCAGAAGUAACUUCCUGUUUUAAAAGAAAAUAACUUAAAAGAUCUUAUAAGGAAGGCUUAGGCAGCUUCUUGGAAAUCAAGAGGCUGUUAUGAAACAUUUUGAUGUGUUUAGUUUAGAGGGAUCAGGAACAUGUGGGUUACAUUUUCCUUAAAAUGCACAUGGUUUUUAAAAAUUAAGGGGUAAUGUUCUUGGCAAAAUAGGUUUUGCCAAACCCAAACUGUUUAAAAAAUUGUUCAAGAUGUUUAGCAAGGCCAAAAGGCCCCAGGCCUCCACCGGCUAAUAAUAGAAUCAAUCAGGAAAACCAGAGUGAAGUCACUAAACUCAUUUUAACAGUCUCUUGAAAUAACCAACAAAAAUAAAUCUCAAUGUAGUAACAAUCCCAAGCAAUUAGAAUAUAAUAACUUUUAUGCUCGUACUGAAUAGAACCCCAAGCUGGUAGUUAAAAUCAGGCCAGGGAUUCUGGAAAGUUGGCAGUGUGUUUGCUUGACUGAAAUAAUUGAUGGCGUCUGUAACAAUGGCGGAGGGACCAGAAGGGGUGGGCAGAUAAAGCACUCACCAGAGAUAAUGGGUGAGUGGACAUCAACCUGGCUGCCCACGGAGCAGAGGCCAGUGUUGAGAACCGCUAGGUCUUUGCUAACAGGACAGGGAGAGGCCAAGGCCAUUCGAUGACCUGUCUUCAUCUGGAAAAGUCCACUAAAUCCCUUCAGUGAGUCCCCAGGGCUGAGGCGCUGGCCCAGCCCAGGAGGAGUUGGGGGAGUAUCAGCAAAGCUGAGAGGAAAGCGUUUCUGGAAGAGGAAAGCGUUUCUGGAGCUGACACUUGCUUCCCACACUCCUUGUUUGGAAACCAUCUUGCUCCUGGGCUCCAUCUCACACAUAGGAGGAUUUAGUGGAGCCGUGUGGUGCCCUGUGGGGUGGAUGGCCAUCUGCAGGUCUGCUUUCCUGGUGGACACCAGGCUGUGUCCGCAUCCGGCUGGUGUGCACAGGGCGCCCUCAGCACCCCAGAGCGAUGGUGUUCGGAGCCGGUGGAUUCAUAACCUUGCGCAGAUGCCCGAGGCUGGCACAGGUCUGAGUUUGUUCCUGGGGCCAGAAGCAACGUCUCACACAUGGAGAUAACUUGGAACAACCGAGGAACUUGUGACAUUGCUUACCUUCUGGAUUUCCGGAGGGAUGGUGUCCUUGGGUAGCUACUGGGAUUUCCUGGACAACCUCUUGGUAUCUCUGAAGCUUAACACGCUCAAAACAUAUUCUCGCAGAGUUCCUAUCCUGACCUUUGGAAAUUUUAUUUCUUCUAUUAAAAUACUAAGUGAUACAACAUUUUCUUUGAUCCACAUUGGCUGGAGGGAAAGGUGGCCAUAAACGUAUGUAAGAAAUGAAACUUAUCUCCGGACAUUACACUUUCAUUGUUCCUCUGGCUUAAAAGCCACCCAGGGAGGUGAGUGGUAUUAUGAGCUCUUUUCUGGAGAAAUUUUAUAAGUGUAAAAGUCAUUAAAAUGAGUGUGAUUUCCUCUUGGCUGCUGCUAUUUCUAUAGCUGCCUUGGCUGUCCUAUUCUAUGGAGCCACUAAAAAGUAUAACAGGCAUCAUAUGCCUGUUCCGAAGAAAAAAAGAUCUGAAAUCAUUCUCAUACUUUCUAUCUAUUGCUACUUCUCUUUCCUUCCUUUUAAGAAAAAAAAUACUACCCUCACAAAUUGAUUUUUUAGAUAAUUGAUCAAACAGCUAGCCUUGGCUAAGAGCGUAACUUCGAAAACAGUCAUAACCAAGGCAAUCAUCUAAUUUUACUGAAAUAAAGCUGAAAAUGUACACCCAACAAAAUCAUCCCCAGGAUUGUGUUAGGUGUUUGUGCUUGUACUUUAUUCUCGAUGACACAGUAAUCUACUAAAGUUCCUCUCUCGAUUUUUCUCUUUGCAAUCUGGGAGAACAGAUUCAACACUGAUUGUGCUCAUUUAUAAAAGCAUCCAAAACAAAAUUGAACCCCAAGGCUGAUAAGCUAUAAAGAUGCUGAUCAGAUCUGAGCAGAAUGGACCACGCUUUGGGGCUCGCUCAGCUAAAGAUGGUUCUAGAAGACGGAUGACUUUAUAGACACAAUUACAAACACCAGCGCUCUGUCAGAUGAAUGGAAACUCAUGAAAUAUGGGGCUGGCCCUUUAUUAAGUAAAGAAUGACAUUUUGUAAAAUACUUGUGAAGAUUUAGUAAUUUUUGGGGAGGUAAUUAAAUUCUCAACAUUCUGCGGUAGAAGGCAUAAACACGCUUACGAGAAAGAACAAUCCAAUAGUAUAUACAGAUAAUAGUUCUACAAAACAGAGACUAAUUGAUUUUUUAAUGGCUCAAGCUAAAAGGGAUGAACCUUGUCAAAUUUAUAUAAUUGUUAUCCAUAACCAGGAGAAGCCACGAUCAAUAAGGAAUGAGAAAUACGUUUGUUCUUUCCGAGUCUCUCUCCAAAGAAAGGUUGGAUGGGAGAAACAACUUGGCAUUUUUCCUUUGUUUUGAGUAACACAAAUGGCUUUGGUCACAGUUACACUGCGGCAAUGUAGUCAAGGCAAGGCUGGCCUUCAACUUGAGGUGAACGGGCGGUUCU